rnacentral:rRNA from 1 species
CCUACGGGUGGCAGCAGUGGGGAAUAUUGGACAAUGGGGGGAACCCUGAUCCAGCCAUGCCGCGUGUGUGAAGAAGGCCCUCGGGUUGUAAAGCACUUUCAGUGGGGAAGAACGCCUGGUGGUUAAUACCCAUCAGGAAAGACAUCACUCACAGAAGAAGCACCGGCUAACUCCGUGCCAGCAGCCGCGGUAAUACGGAGGGUGCGAGCGUUAAUCGGAAUUACUGGGCGUAAAGCGCGCGUAGGUGGCUUGAUAAGCCGGUUGUGAAAGCCCCGGGCUCAACCUGGGAACGGCAUCCGGAACUGUCAAGCUAGAGUGCAGGAGAGGAAGGUAGAAUUCCCGGUGUAGCGGUGAAAUGCGUAGAGAUCGGGAGGAAUACCAGUGGCGAAGGCGGCCUUCUGGACUGACACUGACACUGAGGUGCGAAAGCGUGGGUAGCAAACAGGAUUAGAUACCCGUGUAGUC